rnacentral:SRP_RNA from 1 species
AACUGUAAUGGUUCAAUGGCGGAGUCGCUCGCAGCUUCUCGCUUACUCUACCACCCAUCCCCGUCAGAUCCCCCUCGCCUGGCGCCCUGUUCGAACGCCGCGGUGGUUGCAGGCUCGCGCAGGCAACUCGCGACUGCUCAGCAACCCUAAGCACUGGGGGUGAAUCUUGAGGGAGGCAUCACUCUGCAGAGACACCUCCCCCGUCGUGUGGCGAACAGGAUUACGACCGCGAGGGGUUGGGUUAGAAGGGUGAGACUGAGUUGUACGACGUCUUUUUUUGCCUUUUUU